rnacentral:rRNA from 1 species
GAUGAACGCUGGCGGCGUGCCUAAUACAUGCAAGUCGAGCGAACAGACGAGGAUCUUGCUCCUCUGACGUUAGCGGCGGACGGGUGAGUAACACGUGGAUAACCUCCCUAUAAGACUGGGAUAACUUCGGGAAACCGGAGCUAAUACCGGAUAAUAUCUUGAACCGCAUGGUUCAAUAGUGAAAGACGGUUUUGCUGUCACUUCUAGAUGGAUCCGCGCCGCAUUAGCUAGUUGGUAAGGUAACGGCUUACCAAGGCGACGAUGCGUAGCCGACCUGAGAGGGUGAUCGGCCACACUGGAACUGAGACACGGUCCAGACUCCUACGGGAGGCAGCAGUAGGGAAUCUUCCGCAAUGGGCGAAAGCCUAACGGAGCAACGCCGCGUGAGUGAUGAAGGUCUUCGGAUCGUAAAACUCUGUUAUUAGGGAAGAACAAAUGUGUAAGUAACUAUGCACGUCUUGACGGUACCUAAUCAGAAAGCCACGGCUAACUACGUG